CGUAGUCAAUCUACCCUCGAGUCUGGGACAACCUCGGGAAACUGAGGACAAUCCCGGAUAGGCGAUGGACGCUGGAAUGCCUCAUCGCCCCAAGCUCCGGCGCUCGAGGAUGAGACUGCGGCCUAUCAGGCUGUUGGUGGUGUAACGGACCACCAAACCUACGACGGGUAUGGGCAAUGAGAGUUGGAGCCCAGAGAUGGGGACUGAGACAAGGCCCCAGGCCCUACGGGGCGCAGCAGGCGCGAAAACUCCGCAAUGCGCGAAAGCGUGACGGGGGAACCCCAAGUGCCGUUGGUCUUUGAUCGACGGCUUUUAGGGAGUCUAAGAAGCUCCCGGAAUAAGGGCUGGGCAAGUCGGGUGCCAGCCGCCGCGGUAAUACCCGCAGCCCAAGUGGUGGUCGCGAUUAUUGGGCCUAAAGCGCUCGUAGCCGGGUCAGCAAGUCCCUUGUGAAAUCGGGCGGCCUAACCGUUCGGCUUGCAAGGGAUACUGUUGGUCUUGAGGCCGGGAGACGUCUGAGGUACUCCGGGGGUAGCGGUAAAAUGCUGUAAUCCUUGGGGGACCACCAGUGGCGAAGGCGUCAGACGAGAACGGACCUGACGGUGAGGGGCGAAGGCUAGGGGAGCGAACGGGAUUAGAUACCCCGGUAGUCCUAGCUGU
rnacentral:rRNA from 1 species